rnacentral:rRNA from 1 species
UACAGAGGUGGCAAGCGUUGUUCGGAUUUACUGGGCAUAAAGGGCGCGUAGGCGGUCGUGACAAGUCACUUGUGAAAUCUCCGGGCUUAACUCGGAACGGUCAAGUGAUACUGUCGGACUAGAGUACAGAAGGGGCAACUGGAAUUCUCGGUGUAGCGGUGAAAUGCGUAGAUAUCGAGAGGAACACCUGCGGCGAAGGCGGGUUGCUGGGCUGAUACUGACGCUGAGGCGCGAAAGCCAGGGGAGCGAACGGG